rnacentral:rRNA from 1 species
AUUGAACGCUGGCGGCAGGCCUAACACAUGCAAGUCGAGCGAGCGGCGGACGGGUGCGUAAUGUCUGGGAAACUGCCUGAUGGAGGGGGAUAACUACUGGAAACGGUAGCUAAUACCGCAUACAAUCAGCUUUGCCCAGAUGGGAUUAGCUAGUCGGUGGGGUAACGGCCCACCUAGGCGACGAUCCCUAGCUGGUCUGAGAGGAUGACAAGCCACACUGGAACUGAGACACGGUCCAGACGCCUACGGGAGGCAGCAGUGGGGAAUUUUGGACAAUGGGGGAAACCCUGAUCGAGCCAUCCCGCGUGUGCGAUGAAGGCCUUCGGGUUGUAAAGCACUUUUGGCAGGAAAGCGGUACCUGCAGAAUAAGCACCGGCUAACUACGUGCCAGCAGCCGCGGUAAUUC